CAACGGCAUAGCUGGGUAGCUAUGUGUGGACGGGAUAAGUGCUGAAAGCAUCUAAGCAUGAAGCCCCCCUCAAGAUGAGAUUUCCCAACUUCGGUUAUAAGAUCCCUCAAAGAUGAUGAGGUUAAUAGGUUCGAGGUGGAAGCAUGGUGACAUGUGGAGCUGACGAAUACUAAUCGAUCGAAGACUUAAUCAA
rnacentral:rRNA from 1 species